GAUGAACGCUAGCGGCAGGCUUAACACAUGCAAGUCGAGGGGUAGAGGUUGCUUGCAACCUUGAGACCGGCGCACGGGUGCGUAACGCGUAUGCAACCUACCUUUUACAGAGGGAUAGCCCAGAGAAAUUUGGAUUAAUACCUCAUAGUAUAUAACCUUCGCAUGUUGGUUAUAUUAAAGUUCCAACGGUAAAAGAUGGGCAUGCGUCCUACUAGCUAGAUGGUAAGGUAACGGCUUACCAUGGCUACGAUAGGUAGGGGUCCUGGGAGGGAGCUCCCCCACACUGGUAAUGAGACACGGACCAGACUCCUACGGGAGGCAGCAGUGAGGAAUAUUGGACAAUGGGCGCAAGCCUGAUCCAGCCAUGCCGCGUUCAGGAAGACGGUCCUAUGGAUUGUAAACUGCUUUUGUACGGGAAGAAACACUCCUACGUGUAGGAGCUUGACGGUACCGUAAGAAUAAGGAUCGGCUAACUCCGUGCCAGCAGCCGCAGUAAUAC
rnacentral:rRNA from 1 species